rnacentral:misc_RNA from 1 species
GGAAACCUUUAUCAAAUUACCUGAAGACAUGGUUUGUAGGUUCAUUUCCAGUACGACUACUGCUGGUUGGAAAUGCCUUGAACAAAUCACUGCAGAGAAAUCAGUUGGUUCCUUGCAUCAAUUGUGAGAAUAGGGACGAAUCCUAUCAAGAUGUAUCGGUGGAGCGCCCGCCAUACCAUAGUUACAUGGACUCAACUUCAGGGCAGCUUGAACCAGCUUCAGGGGCACGUGCAAGUAUUCCAGGAGAGGAAUACUGGCCAGAAGGAACUGCUAGUCGUGUUAGAGC